rnacentral:rRNA from 1 species
GACCUGAGUUCAGUGAGGCUUACCCCAAA